rnacentral:rRNA from 1 species
UAGUGGCGAACGGGUGAGUAACACGUGGGCAAUCUGCCCUUCACUCUGGGACAAGCCCUGGAAACGGGGUCUAAUACCGGAUAACACUCUGUCCUGCAUGGGACGGGGUUAAAAGCUCCGGCGGUGAAGGAUGAGCCCGCGGCCUAUCAGCUUGUUGGUGGGGUAAUGGCCUACCAAGGCGACGACGGGUAGCCGGCCUGAGAGGGCGACCGGCCACACUGGGACUGAGACACGGCCCAGACUCCUACGGGAGGCAGCAGUGGGGAAUAUUGCACAAUGGGCGAAAGCCUGAUGCAGCGACGCCGCGUGAGGGAUGACGGCCUUCGGGUUGUAAACCUCUUUCAGCAGGGAAGAAGCGAAAGUGACGGUACCUGCAGAAGAAGCGCCGGCUAACUACGUGCCAGCAGCCGCGGUAAUACGUAGGGCGCAAGCGUUGUCCGGAAUUAUUGGGCGUAAAGAGCUCGUAGGCGGCUUGUCACGUCGGAUGUGAAAGCCCGGGGCUUAACCCCGGGUCUGCAUUCGAUACGGG